UGCAAACGAAUAGAUCCACUUGUUAACGCAUGAAUACAAAAAAAUAAAAGCAAAAUGUUGAUGGCAGUUUAUAAAACAUCAAAAAAAAUCUUUUAAGACACUGUUCAAAUGACAAAAAUAAACUUACCGGAUAAGGGUCACGGCAAACAAUAACACAAAAUAAAAACGAAUUUCCAAGACAUUUAACCGACAUAACACACAGGACUUACCAAUCCACAGUCGUUACAAUAACGUAACAUCACAAAUGUGCGUUGAAUUGGCACAUGGACGACUUCGGGAACAAAAUUCACGUACAUCAAAUGUUUACACCCAUGCGCUUUCGUCAAGAUAUGCGUGCAACAUUUUCUUGUCCAAAAUGGCGGCAAUUGCAAUCAUGACCCUGCUGCAAUCGCAUAUCAAUCAUCGUAACCAUAGCUACUAGACAUAUAGAAAGAAGCCCUGCCUAUGCUAGUUAGUCCGGUAGAAAUAGACCAAAACAUCGGGCUAGGUUUGCAAUAAUUCGCAUAGAGCUAAAAAUUGGUACAGGGCUUAAGUUCAUCAUUAUAAAUAAUGUGUCAAAAGUCCCCAUUGAUCCCAUCCAUGCCUGCUAAAAAAGUUAUUCAAAGUCAAAGGUAAAAAAAACGAUUUUUUGCAUUUUUUUCGUAAACGGUAACUAUUAUCGCAAAAACUGGUGAAAUAAAUGUUGUAGAUCAGAAAAUUAUCUAUAAAAAAGAAUUCCUUACUUUUUUUUGUCCGAGUAACCAUUUUAGAGAUAUCUCCAAUUUAAACAUCGUAAAUACUAAUAUACACGUAUAAGCUGCACGUCUACACUAAUACGCCGCCUACAUACGUCAUUAAAGAUGUAAUUUAAAUGAAAAUAUUUAUUCAUAGAAUUUAUACAUACAAAUUUUACGAUUUCAAACCCAUACCAAAUGAAUAUACACUUAAGAGAAACUCAGUCCCUAAGUUCAUUCUCCCGUAUAUCCUUGAGCAGCACCUGCGUGUAUCUCUGUUAUUCAAAUGACGACGGUCCUAUACCUGUUUUUUUUUGUCAACGAUCUAUGGGAAGUCAGCCGGUCGACUGUUUCUAUAUACUUUCAGUAUUCAAUGUUUUUUUGCAGCGAAUACACGUUCUCGUUGUUAAUAUCUCUUAUAAAAUUUUGUACUGUUCAAUAAUUCUUGAAAAAUGUCGCAGUUUUACUUUGUUUGUAGUAAACCUUUAGCUAAAAGUGAAAUUAUUGUUGUUGAUCGUGGAAUGAAGACUGUAAUUGAUGCAAAUGUUGAGAGAAAUUAUGGAUACCUUGAUUUUCUGACAGAAAAUAAAUCUGUGACUAUCCAUACUCAGUGUCGUAAACCAUAUACUCGAAAGAGUUCUAUUGCUGCUGCAAUCAAAAGACAGAACGAAAUGGAACAAGCCGGUAUAUCUGGAAUAAGUCCACCUCGUACUAGAGCGCGGCUGAGUAGUGUCAUGUAGGUGGUGUCAAAGCAAUCAGGAUUUCCAUAAUAAAUUUGAUGGAGUUGAGAAUGCAUAAGCUUAUAGAAAUGCCGUAAUCUUGAACAAUACAUGAGACUAUAGAAACGAAAGUUUCUGUCAAUUUUAUCAGCAAGGACCAAUCUUGGGAGGAGGUACCAGUAUAGCUAGAAAGCUCAGUUACUGUUUUUCUGAAGCCUCUUGUUAAUUGCAAAGUUGACAUAUUUGGGGUGGUGUAUCAUCUGAGAAACCCCUGGCAUGUUGGCACUACCUUUUGGCGGUACAAAGACCUUUGUGAAGAGUUCAACUUGACCAAUUUGAUGAGCUUUGUCAAUUUGAAUGGAUAGAGGGCUUGAAAGAAUACUGCUGCUUUAUCAUCGUUAUGCAUCAGAUGGAUGCUGUUGAUACCAAGUUCGCCGUGAAGAAAUUGUGAGGAAACUUUAUUAUUUGACCGCCAGGGAGAAACUUUUACGUAUUUAGGGUGUACAGUUCUGGAAACUUCAUUGUACAGCUUCAGGCAAGAUUACCUCUGCAGAAGAAUUGAUUAUUGCUAUUCCUAAUCACAAAAAUCCAAGAGAAAGCAACAAUAUUAGAGGAAAGAACUUCAAAAUAUUACUGAGAAAGCCAAAAGGUGCAGUUUAUGUUCCUUAUAAAUUAAUUAGAACAUCUAUGCAAAGAUGGAGGCGGGCAACAACGCCAAAUGUGCCAGGGAGCCUAGAGGGAUUGGCAGAAAUUUUACAAACAGGCGAGUGGCCU